CACGUAGGGCGCAAGCGUUGUCCGGAAUUAUUGGGCGUAAAGAGCUCGUAGGCGGUCUGUUGCGUCCGCUGUGAAAACUCGGGGCUUAACCCCGAGCCUGCAGUGGAUACGGGCAGACUAGAGGUAGGUAGGGGAGAAUGGAAUUCCCGGUGUAGCGGUGAAAUGCGUAGAGAUUGGGAAGAACAUCCGUGGCGAAAGCGCUCUGCUGGACUGCAACUGACAUUGAGGGACGAAAGCUAGGGGAGCGAAUGGG
rnacentral:rRNA from 1 species